UCCGUUGUAGUCUAGUUGGUUAAGAUACUCAGCUCUCGAGAGAGAGACUCGGGUUCAAGUCCCAGUAACGAAA
rnacentral:tRNA from 1 species